rnacentral:tRNA from 2 species
GGCUUGGUAGCUUCGAUGGCAAAGCGCUAGGCUAGCAUACAAGAGUCCUGGGUUCGAAUCUCAGCCGAGCAC